UUGGAUAGGCAAUAUGGCGGACGUCAUGUUCUCGUGCUUGAAUGUAACGUAAACAAACCUUAUGCCUGCGAGCCUUCUGUCUGAAAAGACAAUGUCAAGAGCAUCCAAGAUUACGCUCGGUGUAUCUGUUACCUUUACGGCUAGCAUAAUAGCUUAUGUCCAUUCUUGGCAGAAGAAGGAGAAAGAGCGACUUCGUCAGGGGGUAAUCUUUGACUUGGAAAGGCAAGAACAGAAAAUAAAGAAUCUGGCAGACAAGGAGAAGCAGACACAAUCAACUGAAACACAUCAAGAACAAGAGUGGCAAAUGUCAGAACAAGUGAAUAGACAGAAAAUGACUGCAAACUCGGGGUAGCUUACAUUAAGUCUUAUAAUGGUAUUUCUUAAGACAAAAUAUGUCACAAAAGUUAGUGGCAAAAGUCUUAUGUUGAAAGUAUGCUUGUCUGAUCUUAAAUGAACAAUAGAUAUUUAGAGUAAUGGAUUCAUUUGUAUGUUACAGAAUAGAUUUGGGGUGUUAUCAACUCAGAAUGAACCAAUUUCCACAUUUAAAACAAGUGUUGACUGUUUUGUAUCAAAAACAAACAUCCAUUGAGUCUUAUAUGGCAAGAAAUAAAUAUUAUUUCCAUGAGUGAACAGUGUAUAUUUAUCAUAACUAUGAUAAUUCCAAGAUGUUUAGAUUCUUUGUUGAAUGGUUCUAUGAUCUAACUGCAAUGCUUGUGUAUGACCAGUGUUUGAUUUUGGUGGCUACAGUAUGAAAUGGUAUUCUUGCAUUUACAUUCAAGGUUGCAUGAAAGAUUCUUGUUUAUAGAUGUUACACUUUUGUCUAUGCCUGUAACAAGACUUUUGUAAUUGCAUGUAUUUUAGCUAAUGUACAACAAGACAUUAAUAACGAGUAAACACAACAAAAUGUUAUUACUGCUUGUCAUUGACACCGAAGAUAUGUCAUAAGCUGUAUUUUGAAUUGCAGAGUUCUAAAAG